UACGUAGGGUGCAAGCGUUAAUCGGAAUUACUGGGCGUAAAGCGUGCGCAGGCGGCUAUGUAAGACAGAUGUGAAAUCCCCGGGCUCAACCUGGGAACUGCAUUUGUGACUGCAUCGCUGGAGUGCGGCAGAGGGGGAUGGAAUUCCGCGUGUAGCAGUGAAAUGCGUAGAUAUGCGGAGGAACACCGAUGGCGAAGGCAAUCCCCUGGGCCUGCACUGACGCUCAUGCACGAAAGCGUGGGGAGCAAACAGG
rnacentral:rRNA from 1 species